rnacentral:rRNA from 1 species
AGGAGAACGCUGGCGGCGUGCUUAAUACAUGCAAGUCAACUUGACUUUAGAUAGCAAUAUCGAAAAGUAGGGUGGCGCACGGGUGCGUAACGCGUAGGUAAUCUGCCCUGAGGUCUGACAUAACCCGUCGAAAGGCGGGCUAACAUCAGAUGAUAUAUAAUCACGACAUCGUGGAAAUAUCAAAUCUUCGGAGCCUUGGGAUGAGCCUGCGUCUGAUUAGGUAGUUGGCGGAGUAAUAGCCCACCAAGCCUACGAUCAGUAGCUGGUCUGAGAGGAUGAUCAGCCACACUGGAACUGAGACACGGUCCAGACUCCUACGGGAGGCAGCAGUAAGGAAUAUUGCUCAAUGGGGGAAACCCUGAAGCAGCAACGCCGCGUGAAGGAUGAAAUACUUUGUAUGUAAACUUCUGUAAGAUGGGAAAAAUAUUCUCCUCGGGAGAAUUGAUUGUACCAUCAGAGUAAGCCCCGGCUAACUACGUG